GUGUCAGCAGCCGCGGUAAUACGGAGGGUGCAAGCGUUGUCCGGAUUUAUUGGGUUUAAAGGGUGCGUAGGCGGCGUAGUAAGUCCGUGGUGAAAGCCAACAGCUCAACUGUUGAACUGCCAUGGAUACUGCUAGGCUUGAGUACAGACGAGGUAGGCGGAAUGGAUAGUGUAGCGGUGAAAUGCAUAGAUACUAUCCAGAACACCGAUUGCGAAGGCAGCUUACUAGACUGUAACUGACGCUGAGGCACGAAAGCGUGGGGAGCGAACAGGAUUAGAUACCCUGGUAGUCC
rnacentral:rRNA from 1 species